AUUUAAGUAGUUUAAAGAGAACAUUAGCUUGUGGCGCUAAAAGUAGGAUUGUUCCUCUUAGAUA
rnacentral:tRNA from 1 species